AGUGAACGCUGGCGGUAGGCCUAACACAUGCAAGUCGAACGGCAGCACAGUAAGAGCUUGCUCUUACGGGUGGCGAGUGGCGGACGGGUGAGGAAUACAUCGGAAUCUACUUUUUCGUGGGGGUUAACAUAGGGAAACUUACGCUAAUACCGCAUACGACCUACGGGUGAAAGCAGGGGAUCUUCGGACCUUGCGCGAUUGAAUGAGCCGAUGUCGGAUUAGCUAGUUGGCGGGGUAAAGGCCCACCAAGGCGACGAUCCGUAGCUGGUCUGAGAGGAUGAUCAGCCACACUGGAACUGAGACACGGACCAGACUCCUACGGGAGGCAGCAGUGGGGAAUAGUGGACAAUGGGCGCAAGCCUGAUCCAGCCAUACCGCGUGGGUGAAGAAGGCCUUCGGGUUGUAAAGCCCUUUUGUUGGGAAAGAAAAGCAGCAGGUUAAUACCCCGCUGUUCUGACGGUACCCAAAGAAUAAGCACCGGCUAACUUCGUG
rnacentral:rRNA from 1 species